rnacentral:rRNA from 1 species
CCUACGGGAGGCUGCAGUGGGGAAUAUUGGGCAAUGGGCGCAAGCCUGACCCAGCAACGCCGCGUGAAGGAAGAAGGUUUUCGGGUUGUAAACUUCUUUUCGCAGGGACGAAGAAAGUGACGGUACCUGAGGAAUAAGCCACGGCUAACUACGUGCCAGCAGCCGCGGUAAUACGUAGGUGGCAAGCGUUAUCCGGAUUUACUGGGUGUAAAGGGCGUGUAGGCGGGACUGCAAGUCAGAUGUGAAAACCACGGGCUCAACCUGUGGCCUGCAUUUGAAACUGUAGUUCUUGAGUACUGGAGAGGCAGACGGAAUGCCUGGUGUAGCGGUGAAAUGCGUAGAUAUUAGGAGGAACACCAGUGGCGAAGGCGGUAUGCUGGACAGCAACUGACGCUGAGGCGCGAAAGCGUGGGGAGCAAACAGGAUUAGAUACCCUUGUAGUC